rnacentral:lncRNA from 1 species
UUCUUGCGGUGAUUACUGCCCUUGGUUAUUACCUGAGGGCGUUGCAAGAGCCUUAUUUACACCGCCAAGUUGAGAAUUUAAAAACAUUUUUAAAAAUAGGUUUAUCUGCGUAUCCUGGUGAAGUUAGGAUGCAGAGAACUUGGAGCGGUUGUUUUCUACCAGACACGAGGAUCCCUGUGAAAGAUCCAAAGGGAGAUACCCAUCCAUAGAAGAUGGUUGCUGUCAGAAAAUGCUGAGGAGUUUGCACAAGGAACGGAAGUGGAGUUGACCAAUGCAUCAGGAAGCGUACACUUUCUUUUUAAACCGCUGUGCUCGUCUGUAAAGACCCAAACCUGAGGGGUAAAAGGGGAGAGAAUGAAGUUAAUGCUUCUGUGUCAUAGAGAAAAGCUGCCAGAAUGUGAUUAAGCUUUUUGAGUUAGAACUUAAUAAAAAUGCCUUUGCUACUGGUUUCCAUGGUUGUCCAGUGAAAAGAGUGAAUACAUUUAUACUAAACACAAAAGGUGGUUUCAGAGCUUGGGCAGGAGGGAAGACGUAUUUCUUCUACUAUUUGCUCCUGUAAGUUUAGUGUCACAAACCUCCUCAGGAGUCUGGGAGAUGCUGGGGGAGCAUUUUUCAUCCAAAUGCUGAGCAGGUUUGAAUUUCUUCCUGAACAGGAAAUGAAGACCUAGAUCUUGAGAAAGGCCUAGCUCCUCGCUAAUGAGCUUACCUGCUUCUCUUGAGACAGCUUGCCUUAAAGUAGACAAUGCUCUCAUGGGCUUCUAGAUCUUAGAAAAUGCUUCU